AUCACACAGGUGCUGCAUGGCUGUCGUCAGCUCGUGUCGUGAGAUGUUGGGUUAAGUCCCGCAACGAGCGCAACCCUUGGCUCUAGUUGCUAACAGGUUUGGCUGAGCACUUUAGAGUAACUGCCGGUGACAAGCCGGAGGAAGGUGGGGAUGACGUCAAGUCCUCAUGGCCCUUAUGGCCUGGGCUACACACGUAAUACAAUGGUGGUGACAAAGGGGAGCAAGUCUGUAAAGAUGAGCGAAUCCCAAAAAGCCACCUCAGUUCAGAUUGUCCUCUGCAACUCGAGGGCAUGAAGUUGGAAUCGCUAGUAAUCGUAGAUCAGCAUGCUACGGUGAAUACGUUCUCGGGUCUUGUACACACUGCCCGUCACACCAUGGGAGUUGGAUUUACCUUAAGCUGGUGAGCUAACCGCAAGGAGGCAGCCAAC
rnacentral:rRNA from 1 species